UACGUAGGGUGCGAGCGUUAAUCGGAAUUACUGGGCGUAAAGCGUGCGCAGGCGGUUCUCCAAGUCCGUUGUGAAAGCCCCGGGCUCAACCUGGGAAUGGCAGUGGAAACUAGGGGACUUGAAUCUGGCAGAGGGGGGUGGAAUUCCACGUGUAGCAGUGAAAUGCGUAGAGAUGUGGCGGAACACCGAUGGCGAAGGCAGCCCCCUGGGUCAAGAUUGACGCUCAGGCACGAAAGCGUGGGGAGCAAACAGG
rnacentral:rRNA from 1 species